UCCUGAUUACUCUAGUGCAUCCCCUUCUCUGGUCAUUCAGGGAACAGAAAACUACUCAUCCAGUGACCAGUAUAUUUGCCCUCUACCAGACUCCUGUACCCCACUGGUCUGGGUCUGUCACACUUUGUAGAGUGUCUUUCUCUGACACUAAGGACUUGCCAAGCGUGAUGAGUUUCUCCUGGAAUUUGAGAACUUUUCUUUAUGAUGUCUUUACUUCUGGAUGUUCCAGUGGCUCCAGUAGGGUCCCAAAGCUGCACCAUUGUGGAAUUGAUGGCAGGAGUCCUGAGAAAUCAGUGCCUUUGUUUAGGGGUUUCAGAGUAGCAGCCGUGUUAGUCUGUAUCCGCAAAAAGAACAGGAGUACUUGUGGCACCUUAGAGACUAACAAAUUUAUUAGAGCAUAAGCUUUCGCAUCCGAAGAAGUGGGCUGUAGUCCACGAAAGCUUAUGCUCUAAUAAAUUUGGUAGUCUCUGAGGUGCCACAAGUACUCCUGUUCUUUUUGUUUAGGGGAUGGCUAAUGGCUAAACUUGCACUGAGUUCAGCUUCUCUUCUAGGCCUCCGAAUUUUCCUCUUGCUGCCCUGUGUUGUAUUUGACCUGGUUUUGUAUGUAAAUGUUUGGCCUUCUGGCCACUGGGUGGUGGUUUUGAAAUCCUGCUAAGGACUCUCCUCUCAUUUGCUGUUGAUUGGAGAAAUUUUAGUGCAGUGAGGUAGCUUCACAGAGCUUCAGUACACUUCUUGGUCUCUGCUCGAAUAGCCUGCAGUGUUUUUGUAAGAGCAUCAAAUAGGUAUGUACUAGGGGAAUCAGUAUCCAAGCAUGGAAGACUGGGUGUGUAGCAUCUGGCAAGUCAUCUUUCCAUUUUCUUCACACUGGCUAGGAAAUAUAUUUACUGCUCACAUGUAUUUUAGACUUGUAUCACCCUUCUGGUCUCUCUGUCCAAAUGUGGUCUCUUAGCAAAGAUUAAUCUACUGCCCUCCCACCCCAUCAUCUCAAGCCUCAGAAGUAGCAAAUCAUUUGAAGAGAGACAAUGGUAAAGUUUCAGGGAAGAGCAGUAUUGGCACAUCUGCUACUGAAGUGAAUGUGGCUGGGACUGAUGUCUACCAAUAAAUGAGGAUUCUGGCUUGGUUCCUUCAGUGGGAAGUUCAGGAUUCUAGCCAUUUGGUGUAUAAUAUAAUAAUAAUUAAUGGAGAUAUCCCAUCUCCUAGAACUGGAAGGGACCUUGAAAGGUCAUUGAGUCCAGCCCCCUGCCUUCAUUAGCAGGACCAAGUACUGAUUUUUGCCUCAGAUCCUUAAGUGGCCCCCUCAAGGAUUGAACUCACAACUCUGGGUUUAGCAGGCCAAUGCUCAAACCACUGAGCUAUCCCUUCCCCCAUGCACAGGAAGGAAGUGAGUUAAAGCUACUCUUUAUGGAACACUUGGUCUCUUUCCACCUGCUGCAUUUGCAUUACACGUAGCAUCAGCUUUGUGAUGGCAUGCUAAACAAACACAUUGGCAGACGUUUGGGGCAAUUCUCUGGGGAAUUACUGUGGAUGGCUAUUGGAAUUUAGUUCUUCUGAGAAUCAGAAAUGUGCACAGCUAACGUUCACUCUCCACAUAUGAACUGUGUGGAGCCAUCAAAUUUUCCUGACUGAGUGCCACUGAUACUUGAUAGUGAAGGUGAAUUUUGUGGAGGAGGGUUGUCUUGGAAACUAGAAUCCAAGUCUUCAGUUUCACUAGAUAAACAUUCAGCUCCUAGGCAGAAAAUAAAGACACCAACCCUUAUGGCCGACCAGAUUAAAAAGCAGCUUUGAGAUUUGUCCCUAAAUCUGUGCUUUUGAAGUUUGGAUAAUGUUUGAUCUAAAUGCUAAGAAUUUAACGUGUGCUGCCCAAAUUCUUUUGAGGCUAACCCUUCUCUAACUCAUCCCAACUGAACACCUGUUUGGUGUGGCAUAUCAAUAGAAAACUUGGUUUUCUUUCUGGUGUGGGUGGAGUAUCCCUCUUCUAGAUUGACAAUCUGAGAGAUGGGAAAGGUCUCAUAUCUCUGCAGACAUGUGCAAACUUCAGAGGAAAGUCUUGCACAAGGCAAUACACUAAAGUAACCCUGAAGUCUCAUUUAAAUAUCAGUAACCCAGGAAAUUUUACAGCUGUGACUCCAUCUUUUAGUCCUUGCCUAGGUCCUGCAGAGCAGGUGCACCUCUGUCAGUGAGGUUCCUCUACAAAAGUGUGUGUGGUCUUACACGCAUGAGCUUCUGCAUGCUGGCUUAAGGUGACGAACUACAGACCAUUUCUAUGUGAACUGGAUUUAGUGGGUUUAAAUACCCGGCCAAACUUUCAAAAGUGUGUGCGUGCUUUUGCAUGACGCUCUCUUGCAUUCCCUUGUGCAAGUUGAGGAAGGGUGUCAUGAAUGCAGAAAUCCUGAUGUACAUGUGAAACCCGGAUGCUGCCUAUUCAAAAAGGGUCUGCAUAUCUGAAAAUUUGGGCCUUAAUAUUUAGGAUUGUUUCCACAUUUUAUAGACCCACAGUGGGAUGACAUGCGGCAGUCCCUGUUCUGCCACAAAAUUCAUGUGUAACCCUGGGCAAGUCACUUAGCCUCUUCAUGCUGCAGUUCCCAUCUGUAAGAUGAGGAUAAUAGCACAUCCCUCCCUCACAGGUGUGUUGGGAGGGGAAACACCAUAACAACUGAGGUGCUCAGAUGCUACGGGGGCCAUAGAAGUAGCAUGUACCUAGACAUCCCCCUCAACCCCUAAGAUGGGUCUCCUUUUUCUGAUCCUCACUGUUUCAUAAGCCAUAUGUACUGUGACCAAUUUGACAAACAUCUGAAGGCGUACACCUCCUAAACGGAGCUCUGGAAAGCAAGAGAUCUGACCGUAAGGGCUGAACUCUGGCUUCUGAGACGAAUGCACAACUCCCAUUUAAUUCUGUAUAUCUCACAGGACACAGUUUGACCCUUUGGUUUGAUCUGAUCAUUUUUUGGUUUACAUUUCUUGUAUGUGUCUAUAUUGUAUAUUGUGGCAAGGAGCCCCAGAGCUCGGUUUAGUACCAUGCUAUUAAAUAUCUACUUUGAAUCCGAGGUGGUGGCAGUUCAGUGGCUGGUGAAAAGAUUCCUGUAUGUGGGUCUGUAUGUAUAUGUGUGCAGUCAGUAUAAAUGUGUGUAUAUUGUAUGUUAAAUCCUGCCAAAAUUAAUUAUCAUACAAUUAUAUUACAGUAGAGCACCUAGGAACCCCAGCCAUGGGUCGGAACCCCAUAGUGCUAGACACUGUACAGACAGUCCCUCCCCCAUAGAGCUAACAGUCUAAAGUUGAGAACUCAAGUUCUUGAGUUAGGAAAUGCAGAGUAAGGCUGUGAAUGUUCGACCUUGACUCUGCCCCCUUGUGCUUACGUCUUAAAUUAUGGGCAAAUAAAAAUGUGUAAUGAACACCUAAAAUUCUUAUGCAACCUUCUACAAAGUCUUCAAAUGGGGGUUGAAUUUAAGUCAGAUGCAUGAGAACAAAACAAGUCGAGUAGGAAGAAAAUCAGUGCAGUAGCUUUAAAGUUACUUUAGAGUUGGCAAAGGAGAUUGACUGAUAGUAAGGUGAAUCUCAACAGAAAUUCAACUGUACAUGUGUAAUAUAACUUAUAUUAAGUGUUCACAUCUUUUAAAUAGAGAGCAGAUUUUUCUUCAAAUAUGGCUUUAACUUUGUGUCACUGAGAUAUACAAAAUAAACCAAGCUUGAAG